CUGAUAAUGCAGCACGGUCUGGGGGCAGUUCCUGGUGGCUGACGUCUGAGGAAAUAGCCGGCAACACCCAACUGCAGAUGGCUCCUGAUAACUGGCCAUCUCUUUUCCGAGUGGCCAGAAGUGUUAUUUCGGGAGCACGACACAGAGCAGACCAUCUGUUAAGGUUCCGGGGGAAGCCUCAGUUGGUCAUACGUGGCGAAGGCAGCCAAUGAGGCAGAACUCGAGCACGGCCGUGGACGUGCCAGAGGUCGCCGAACCCCCCGUGCUGACCGCAAGGGAAGGGCUCCGAGCUCCAGGGAUCACGGACACUCCGAGGGAAGGGGCUGAGGGCCGCUGGGGUGUCUCCUGGGCCUCUGCCAGGCCUCCGUUGUCCCCAUGUCUUGGAAACUGGGAAACGUGUUGCUUUGCUAUUUUUGGUACCAGAGGACUGUGGCCUUUCCCGAACAAGCGUGUCUCUCGUGUUAACAGUGUGAGAGCAGACGUGCCCUGGGAAGGCUGGUUCAAGGUUAACGGGGCAAGAAUUACAACACGCAGCGAGUAACUUGUAAUUUAAAGCGAAGCCUGCAGAUCUUCUCAAACCUUUAUCCCAAGUGUGAAGUUUUGUUUUCAAUGCUUGAAAGGCCUGAGUUGUCUUCGUAAAAAGAGACUGGGCCUCAGCAGGCCAGACCAGGGGGACGUCUGACCUCGGCCAUCACUGGCCAGGCCCUGAAGGGCUCUGGCAUUCACCUGCUCUCGUCUCCAACACGUCCCUCGCCCCGGAAAGUUCAGCGUGCGCUUCAUAUGUCUUGCAAAGCAACAGCGAUGGGGUCUAAGUAAUUGUCGAGCAGCACAAGAAGAAGGAGGGCGUAACAAAGUUAAGGUGCAUGACUUUCACACUGGACUUCUCAUACUUGCUUGAGAAUCUGGAAAAAGCAGCAGACUUUGAUUUCGGAAAAACACACAAUGUGCAACAUCAAACUGCCCUCCGCAUAAAUGGAGAGGAAAAAUUCUUUUUUUUUUUUUUUUUAGUUUGUUUUUUUAUUUUGAGAGAGACAGAGUGUGAGUGGCAGAGGGGCAGAGAAAGAGGAAGAAUGUCAAGCAGGCUCUGUGCUGUCAGCACAGAGCCCACACGGGACUCGAACUCACGAAAUCGUGAGACCAUGAACCAAACCCAGUGGAAAUUGGGAGUCAGAUACCCAAGCCGCUGAGCCACCCCGGGGUCCCCAAGAGGACAGAUUCUUUAAUGGGAAGUAUCAGAGGAGGUAACGACACAAAGGGAAAGCAGCAAGACCUUUUUGUUUCACUCAUUAAAACGUUGACUCUUGUUUCACACCCACUAAGUGCUGGAGCGUUCUGGGCACUUUGGGAAUGCAAAGCAAAUAUAAGGCAUCCCUUUUGCCAUCCAGAAGUUCAGUGCAGUGAAGGUAGACACGCCUGCAAAUCAUUCUCUUUUGUUUUUUAAUUUCAAAAUCAUCAUAAACUUAUAGGAAAGUUGCAGGUGCAAGAUGAAGACAUUUUUCUUCCAUCGCUUAAUGCGAAGUUGCCGAUCUGUCGUCCCAACUCUGAUAACCAUGUCUCGUAUUUUCUGUAUUCUGAUGCUCUGACAGCUGGGGUCUUGCUGCCCCUGGAGGGGCCGCCCCUAGCAGGGUAGCCCGUUCCUAAAGAUAACGAAAACCCCCAUCGAGCAUGCUUUUCAAUGCAAACCAACCAAGCCAGAGUCCGCACCCAUGAUCUUCACCAAACACCUGAUCACCCCAAAGCAGGUACCAGACAAGAAGGACAGCUUCUCUGCCCGAGAGCCUACUGAUAGUUCAAAACAGCCAAUCCCACGCCCGCUCGCCCUGCCUCGCCUGUUCUUCCCAUGGAAGCAAGAGUAAAAGCUCUGGUCUACAUUUUCCCUUCACUCCCUCUGCUUCCUUACAGACACUGCUUCCCCUUGUGGGCCUGUGUGGGGUGCCACGGCUCCCGGAGACUAUAACCAACUAGAUAGAUCUUCAAUGGCGGUCUCUCGUUCCCGUACCUAAAUGAUAACAAAACCUGUUAAACCACGGUCAUCUGCGACUACUUCCUCCAAAAUUGACCGUUUCUCCCAGGAGUCCUGUAUCUUUUGAGAGGAUGAUGGUAUUGAGAAGUCAAGCCCCAGGCACUGGAUGUGUUCAUUUCCAUGGGGGUGUUGCCGCUCCCGGCCUUCUUGGGGAGCAGAAGGAGGAAGCAUUGUUGUAGAGGCUGGAAGUCUGAGAUCAAGGUGUCAGCACGGUUGGUUUCUCCCAAGGUCUCUCUCCUUGGCCAAAAGAUGGUCGCCUUCUCCUGUGUCCUCCCAUGGACUUCCCUCUGUGCAUGUCUGUGUCCUGAUCUCCUCUUCUUGAAAAGACACCUGUCACAUCAGAUGAGGGCCCACACCUCUGCCUUCGUUUUCACUUAAAUACGUCUUUGAAGACCCUAUCUCCAAAUACGGUCACACUCUGAGGUACUAAGGUUCCACAUGAAGCCAAAAGGUCCACUUUUUUUUCCUUUUUUUCUUAACAUCUAAACUGGCUUCGAAUGGAGACAGACUUCUCCUUUACUUAUUUCCAUCUUACUUUUUUUACAAACGAGUAUCCGUGAGCGUGCAUUUUACGCUAUGUAACACAAGGGCAUGAUUUGACCGUAGUUUCUUUUUGCCACAAGGGGUUGGCACAAAGCUUCUCUCUGCAUCAGGUUCCGCCGCACCAGCUCGGCGAGGAGGAGUGUGCGGUGCCCGGGCUCAGGCCGCAGAGCUGGGCUGUUUGGGGCAAGACUCACGAUCUUGCUGGCAUGCCCUCUCCUCUGCCGUGAAAUGGAAGAAUUGCCCCCGUCAGGGAGCCUAGUGCCUGGAGAACGCUCAACAGUAAACAACUUCGUGCCGAAUACUUGUGGGAAUCAGAGCGAGAGAGUGUGGCCAAAAGCCCCCGCAACGGUACCCCGCCAGCCCGAGAGAAGAAGCGAGAAAAGGGGCAGUAGAGAAAGAGCGAUCGAUGGCAAGCUUUAUCAUUUCUGGCGAUGGGCCUUGGUGAUAGGGUUAAGGAAUUGGUGCAGAAGAGCGGAAGUCAAAAAUUAGGGGAAAUGCGACCCGUUUUCUUUAGAUAAACCGUAUCUUCAGAUGAAGGCAGAUUACACAGAGCAUCACGCUUUUCCUUUGAUUCCAUUGCGCACCCCGGACGGGCAUCCCGUCUUCAGACCCGGCUCUGCGUCCCCCUAAAUCCCGGGGAGUCGUGCCUCCCUGGCCACCGCAGUAAGAAGCGGUCUUGGGGGACACACUCCCCCAGGGUGGUCGGCGGGCACCUUCCCGUGUGCAUGAAAGUUCACUGAACUCGCCCCCACCCCCCACCCCUGGCCUUGUUCUUCUUCCCUUCCAUCAGCAGCUCAGAGCUGAGCUGUCCACUAAGCUCUCCUCCACGCCGUCCGAAGGCACUCGUCCCCGGGCUCUGAAUUAGACACGGCAGAAAAGAGUCUGAAAGGUCAAACGCAGAGUAGUUCCUCUUUCGGUAUCAAAAUAAAGCAUUCCUUGCAUUUC